rnacentral:tRNA from 1 species
GCGAGAGUGGCGGAAUUGGUAGACGCGCUAGAUUUAGGAUCUAGUGUCUUUAAAGACGUGGGGGUUCGAGUCCCCCCUCUCGUA